CUAUUUUCUUCUUUUCUUUAUACUAGUCUACCAGAACUUGAAGAGAAUGAAAUUGGAAAAAUCUGGCCCUAUUUCCCAAUAGAAAUCAAUUGUUUUGCCACUUGGUUAUUUUUCUGGGCUCAUCAAGAUUUUGAGCUAAAAUUAUGAAGGGGUGAUUCAGUAUCUCCAGAGUUGUGGAAUAAUGAUUGUUAUUCCAAAAGAAGGGGAAAAAAAAUUAUUGAUUUUAUAGUGGGACCCGCGGGGAAGUGGGUUUUAAAAAUAAGGGAAUAUGUAGGAAUCAGUUUAGUGGAAUAAUGCUUGUUGUUCCAAAGAAGAAAAUUACUGUGAGCAAAAAAGGAUUCUGUAUAGAAAAAGCUAUAUUAUGUGAUUGUUUUAUGUAACAACAGCAGUACAUGUAAGUACAGAUGUAUUAUUUUUGUAUAUUAUGUGUGCAAAAUUGUUUAUGUAAUACUCAGGAUCCAACCAGUUGUGUGGAAAUAUGGAUGCUUGAAAUUGUGAAAUGGAUGUUUUCUUCUGGCCUUGAGUCUCUCUGGGUAGAUUGUGAAAAAAAUAAAUAUUGUCAAGAACAUUAAAGGAUAUGGUAAGAUUGUGUGUGAUAAGAAAUGUGAAAUUAGUUGGUCAGCCAGCAAAAGCAGAGUGAAGCGGCAGAUAGUUGAGCAGAAAGAUAUGUGCAGUGCUAACAUGUAAUGUUUCUGAAAUUUCUCCAUCUAUCAUUGUGCCUUGUUUCUUUUGAAAUCUGUUAUUAGUAGAAGAUGAAAGUGAGCUCUGCGAUUUUAUAUUGCUGUGCCUGUAGCAGCCUUUCUGCACAUAUUUACUUGAAAUCAAAUUCCGUAACUAUUCAGCACCAAUUUUUCCACCCUUCAUCACAUCAAUAAAUCCAAUAGUCCUAUGAAAGCCUCCUAUUCUUUCUCUUCUCCACCAAGUAAAAUCCAAAGAAAGACAGGACAGACAAAGCAGAGAAACAAACUGAGGCAACUUCUUCCAGGGACGCAUGACGUCCACUGAUAGCUUGGAUUUCAAACAGGCUUCACUGACGGAGUUAUAAGCAUAGACUCUAACAAAGUCUUGUCCUUGUUGAGAGGAAGCAGUGACCACCAGAUUCCGGAGGGAGGAGAACAGCACAGCUCCACAGCAAGUUCUAGGGAAGCACAAGGCUAGGAGAGUCCCAUUGGUGCUGGAGUUUUCUAAAGAUUGCAUCCACGACGACGAAGCCCAACCUUUCUUUUCUUCUUUCUGUUUGGCUAUUGAUUUCUAAAUCAAACAGUUAAAAUGGUUGGUACUUGGUUGGUCAGGUCAGGAUGCACAGAACCUGGCCUUAGGAAGGCUGCAUGGAAAAUCCAAGCUUGAUUUGCAACUAGUAUGCUUUGUGUGCUUCAAAGAGAGAGAAGGAUUGAAGAUGUCUUUUGCCAAACCCUAUCGAAAUCAGUUAGCAUGGUACAAAGGGGCAUUUGAUGAAGUUGAAUAUUGAGGCACAUUCCAUUCGUUCCCAAAUUUAGGGGUGUUUUGGUAUUUGUCCUUUUUUUAAAAUUAUUUUUUCAUUCCCUUUCUUUUCUUCAUUACAUGAGCACAAGAAGAAAACAUGAAUCUCCCACUUGAAAAGCAAUCAAUUCACAAACAAAAGUACCUUUACACUUUGCUUUCCAUGGCACAGAUGGGAUUCGGCCAAACCAAUCAAACAUGAAAUGAAAAGAUCGCAUUGAAACAGAAUUGUUUUCUUUUUUAAAGUACGAAUUUACGAAACUUAGCUCAGUUGAUCAGGAAAAGAAAGUGUGCCGCUUACGAAAUUUAGCUUCCCCGCAAAAAAGAAAAAAGAAAAAAGAAAAAAGAAAAAGAAAAUAUGAAUUUAAAGAGUAUCACAACCGUCAACUACCAACAUGUCAAAAAGCAGCGGGUUGCUCAAGGUGAGCCACACCACAAGCUCUACAAAUCUCGCACACACCCCAACACUCCAACUUGCCAGAGGGCCCACAACUCAGGCCGGACCCAUAAAAUCAACGGCUCAAGUUAGCUUGCUUCACCAACGCUCCCAAUCAAACUCUCAAAACACCCCACGUACACGUAGCUGAUUACACUUUGUUUUUCUUCUGGCUCAUCUCGCCACACCCACAAAACAAAAUCACAAGAAAAAAAACAUUUAAAAAACUCUUACAUCCCACACACGCGCACACUCCUUCUCUCAAGCCAACUGUUGCCCUUCCCUCUUCUUCGCAUGUUCUCGGAGCUCCGGCUCCAUUAACGGAGCCCCAGCUCACAGCUCACAUCCUUUUCUUUUUCAAAAAACUAAAAAAAUUAUAACUACUCUUUUUUCGCCUUCGUUUCUUUUUAUUAUUUCAAACAUUUCUGGUCAUAUUUUCUCUUCAUUUCCAACUGCGUUCUCAGAUCUCGCAAACCGUCGAAGAUGGCCAAACCCUGGGGUGGUAUCGGCGCCUGGGCCGCCGACUCUGAGCGAGCCGAAGCGGAGGAGCUCGCGGAGGCUGCCCAAGCUGAGUCCCAGAGCUUCCCGAGCCUCAAGGAAGCCGCGAACACAAAGCCCAAGAAGAAGAAGAUGACCCUCUCCGAGUUCAACAUGGGGGGCUCUUUCUCCGCCUCCGGGCCCGCCGCCUCAAGUCGGGUCGGCCUCACUCCUGAAGAGAUGAUGCGCCUCCCUACCGGCCCCAAAGAGCGCUCUGCAGACGAAAUGCAGUUUGGUCGCCUCGGCGGUGGGUUUUCCUCGUACGGCCGCUCCGGUUCGAAUCCGGGUCGGGGAAGGGACCGUGACGACGCGGAAGGGUCGUGGGGCGGUGGUGGCAGAAGAUCCUACGGUGGAUUCGAUGACGACCGAAGGGGUCCCCCUUCUAGGGUUUCAGAUUUCGAUCAACCGUCGAGGGCAGACGAGGUUGACAAUUGGGCAUUGACCAAGAAGUCUCUUCCUUCUUCAGAUUCAGGUCGGCAGAACCGGUAUGGCUCGCUCGGUGGCGGUGGCGGUGGAGGUGCCGGUGCCGGUGUGGGUGUUGGCGGACCCUGGUCUAGGGCAGACGAGGUUGAUAACUGGGCUGUUGGGAAGAAGCCUGCUCCUGCAAGAACAUCCACAUUUGGGUCUGGAUUUCGUGAUUCGGGGCCGGAGCCCGAUCGCUGGGCGAGAGGCGGACGCGAGGCGGACGGCGUUGAGAGAGAGCGACCCAGAUUGGUUUUGGAUCCUCCAAAAGGCGAGUUGGGCGUGAAUGAGUCAGUGCAGGUUGUGAAGACCAAUAAGCCCAGCCCGUUCGGGGCAGCUCGACCUAGAGAGGAGAUUUUGGCCGAGAAGGGGUUGGAUUGGAAGAAGUUGGACUCGGAAAUUGACGCCAAGAAGACGAGUCGGCCAACGAGCGCGCACUCAAGCAGGCCUUCCAGUUCUCAGUCAAGUCGGUCUGAAGGUCCUGGGCUGCAUGGGAGUGAGAAUGUGGUGAAGCCGCGGCCCAAAGUGAACCCAUUUGGUGAUGCCAAGCCAAGGGAAGUUUUGCUGGAGGAGCGAGGUAAAGAUUGGCGGAAGAUGGAUCUCGAGUUGGAGCAUCUCAGUGUUGACAGACUCGAAACAGAAGAGGAAAGGAAGUUAAAGGAAGAAAUUGAUCAUCUAAAGAAGGAACUUGAGAAAGAAUCUCCAGAUAAAACGAACAGCGAAACUGGGCAAGAGUCUGGUGGUGACCAGGCAAGUCUACGCGAUAUAGUACUUCAGAAGGAAAGGGAAUUGGAGACACUGAUCCACGAUUUGGAUGACAAAGUUCGCUUUGGUCAGAAGGCCAUCGAUAGACCUGGGUCUGGGGCAGGCAGGCCUGGGUCUGGGGCAGGCCGGCCUGGGUCUGGAGCAGGCAGGGCUGGUAGCUUUCUUGACAGGACACCUUCUCAAUCUGGGUCAUUUGAAGAUUCUAGAAGUACGGAAUUCAUCGAUAGGCCUCACUCACAUGGCAAAGGAGAUGCGUGGACAAGGCCUUUUGAUGACAGAAGGUCAUUUCAAGGUGGCAGGGAAAGAGGAUUUCUGGGGAACAGAGACAUGGGCAGGUGAGGAUAAUGCGUUUCUUCUCUUUCCUUUUUACAGUCAUAGGGAGGAAGUUAACCUGUUUAAGGAAGAAACUUGAUCUGUUAUGCUUUGCAAUGGCAAGGUCAAGAGAAAGAUGGUGAGAAAGUGUGCUGUUUCUAUGGAUUCAUUGAAUUGCCUUCUACUUUUGACAACCUGAACCAAAUAAUAUUUUGCCCCACUCUUUUUGUUUUCUUCAUUUUGCUCUUGGAAAUGGAGCAAGCAUUAUUGAUUACCGGCACUGGGAACUCUUACCUUGAUCUAUUGUUACAUCUUGAAACUAUGUAAAAUUGCAAAUUACUUUUCUUUUUUUUUCUUUCUUUUGUCUGUUUCAUAUGAAGGAGCCUUGUAUUGCUCUUAGGAUCCACAUUUACUGAACACUAUGGGACUCAUUAGUCUAUUUUUGUGACAAUUGUCUGGGUGUUAUACAGAUAAUUUGGUUCUAUUGUGCA